GAGUUUGAUCCUGGCUCAGAUUGAACGCUGGCGGCAGGCCUAACACAUGCAAGUCGAGCGGAUGAAGGGAGCUUGCUCCUGGAUUCAGCGGCGGACGGGUGAGUAAUGCCUAGGAAUCUGCCUGGUAGUGGGGGAUAACGUCCGGAAACGGGCGCUAAUACCGCAUACGUCCUGAGGGAGAAAGUGGGGGAUCUUCGGACCUCACGCUAUCAGACGAGCCUAGGUCGGAUUAGCUAGUUGGUGGGGUAAAGGCCUACCAAGGCGACGAUCCGUAACUGGUCUGAGAGGAUGAUCAGUCACACUGGAACUGAGACACGGUCCAGACUCCUACGGGAGGCAGCAGUGGGGAAUAUUGGACAAUGGGCGAAAGCCUGAUCCAGCCAUGCCGCGUGUGUGAAGAAGGUCUUCGGAUUGUAAAGCACUUUAAGUUGGGAGGAAGGGCAGUAAGUUAAUACCUUGCUGUUUUGACGUUACCAACAGAAUAAGCACCGGCUAACUUCGUGCCAGCCGCCGCGGU
rnacentral:rRNA from 1 species